AUCUCCUGCCUCCGCUUCCUCCAGCCGGGCGGGCACCUCCGUUUCUUCCCCGAAGCGCCCGUCUCGUAUCUCUACCCAAGCGCCCCUCUUCUCUCGAUCUAUCCCGAGCUGCCAAGAAUCAAAUAGCCCCCCUCCUCCUCUAUGUCCAACAAGAGUCCCGCGCCAAAUCGAAUCCCCUCGUCUCGAUCCAUAGCAGUUCCAGGAGGUUCGAUCCUCAUGAAGAAGGGGGCGGUUGGAGAAGAAGAGGGGCACGACCCUGCUGCCGCCUAGGCCGGCGGGCUUGCGCCCCGGCCGACGGUUCGUCACUGCCCAGCCGUGAUAUCGCCGCCUCUGGAUGGGGAGUAGGGCGAGGCUUCGCCGCCGGCGUUGACGGCCCUAGCGCCACCGCCGAUGUGAACGCCGUCGCUGUGUCGCCGCCUCUGAGCCUGCGCCGGUGAGCCAUUUGCUGUUGUCGCCGUGUUGAACGAGCUAGCUAUAAGGGGGCUCAGGAGACCAUCAGUCCAACGACCAUCACAUGCAGCUCAAUCGGAAGUCGUCCGUGAAGACAGGUUCAAUCAGAGAGCUUUGCGAAGCCACGAGAACCAGAAGACGCAGUUGUCAGAUGUUUAGCCAGUGUGUGCGUAUGUGUUGUAAUCGAAAAACUUGUACUUUAUGAAUUCAAAUGAAUAAAUAAAUAUCAGUGUUUUCAUUUACAUGUUUA